AUUGAACGCUGGCGGCAUGCCUUACACAUGCAAGUCGAACGGUAACAGGUCUUCGGAUGCUGACGAGUGGCGAACGGGUGAGUAAUACAUCGGAACGUGCCCGAGAGUGGGGGAUAACGAGGCGAAAGCUUUGCUAAUACCGCAUACGAUCUCAGGAUGAAAGCAGGGGACCGCAAGGCCUUGCGCUCACGGAGCGGCCGAUGGCAGAUUAGGUAGUUGGUGGGAUAAAAGCUUACCAAGCCGGCGAUCUGUAGCUGGUCUGAGAGGACGACCAGCCACACUGGGACUGAGACACGGCCCAGACUCCUACGGGAGGCAGCAGUGGGGAAUUUUGGACAAUGGGCGCAAGCCUGAUUCAGCCAUGCCGCGUGCAGGAUGAAGGCCUUCGGGUUGUAAACUGCUUUUGUACGGAACGAAAAGAUUCUGGUUAAUACCUGGGGUCCAUGACGGUACCGUAAGAAUAAGCACCGGCUAACUACGUGCCAGCCGCCGCCGUAAUAC
rnacentral:rRNA from 1 species